CCUACGGGAGGCAGCAGUGAGGAAUAUUGGUCAAUGGCCGUAAGGCUGAACCAGCCAAGUAGCGUGAGGGAAGACUGCUCUAUGGGUUGUAAACCUCUUUUAUGCGGGGAUAAAGGUGUCCACGUGUGGAUGUUUGCAGGUACCGCAUGAAUAAGGACCGGCUAAUUCCGUGCCAGCAGCCGCGGUAAUACGGAAGGUCCGGGCGUUAUCCGGAUUUAUUGGGUUUAAAGGGAGCGUAGGCCGGUCUUUAAGCGUGCCGUGAAAUUUUGUGGCUCAACCCCGCUCCGCCGUUGAAACUGUGUCCCUUGAGGGCGCGAAGGGUAGGCGGAAUGCGUGGUGUAGCGGUGAAAUGCAUAGAUAUCACGCAGAACUCCGAUCGCGAAGGCAGCCUACCGGCGCGCAACUGACGCUCAUGCACGAAAGCGUGGGUAUCGAACAGGAUUAGAUACCCGUGUAGUC
rnacentral:rRNA from 1 species